rnacentral:lncRNA from 1 species
CCCUCUCACUUCUUCCCCCAUUUUUUAUUUUUUAUUUUAUUUUUCUUCUUCUCCUACCCAUUUUUCCUCCAAUCUUCCUCCACUAUACCCCACUUCUAGAGAUGCACCGCACGACCCUUUCCUCUUCCCCCCUCUUCUCUCAUCUUCCUCUCGUUUCUCCAUUUUUUUUUCUACUCUUCAUUUUCUUUGCUUUGUUUUAUUUUAUUUUUUGUUUCCCAAAAAAGUCAUCAACUGCUGCCAGCAAGAUCACCAGCCCGUCGCCGUCAACGAGCCCUUGUCAGCCAAUGACCCCCUCCCAUUUUCUCUCAUUCCCUCACUUUCCCAUCCCACUCAUUUUCCAUUAUUAUUAUUAUUAUUAUUAUUAUUAUUAUUAUUAUUGUUAUUAUUAUUAUUUUCCUUUAUUUUAAUAAUAAUUGUUGUUGAAAUUGGACUUGUGUAUUUAUGUUUAUUUCUGGGCCUUAUAUUUGAGCUUUAUUAAUUAGUAUGGAAUUUAUGUUAAUUUGUUGUUGGUAAAUUAAUAUGAAAUUUGGGUUAAUUUAUGGUUGGUGGAUUAAUUUGAAAUUUGUUAAUUUGGGUUUGUGGUUAUAUUGCAUUUGGUGAUUAAUUUGGGAUAUUUGGAUUAUAUCAAUUACAUAUUGUUUAUUUGGACUUGGGCCUAUUGUUAAUUGGUUAUUUGUUUGGGCUUAUUGGAUUGGGCUUGAUAUAUUAUUUUAUUUGACCAUGUAUAUUAUUAAUGUAGGCUUGUUAAUUGGUUAUUUGUUUGGGCUUGAUAUAUUAUUUCCUUUGGCUAUAUAUAUUAUUAACAUGGGCUUAUUAAUUGGUUAUUUGUUUGGGCUUAUUAGAUUGGGCUUGAGAUAUUAUUUCCUUUGGCUAUAUAUAUUAUUAACAUGGGCUUAUUAAUUGGUUAUUUGUUUGGGCUUAUUAGAUUGGGUUUGAGAUAUUAUUUCCUUUGGCUAUCUAUAUUAUUAAUGUAGGCUUGUUAAUUGAUGUGAAUUUUGGGCCCACAAUGUGUGUGAGAUUUGUUGGAUGACUUGAAUAUUUUAUAUGGCUUGAUCGAUUUGAAUUAUUUAAUUUGGACAUGCGAUAAUUAUGGUGUAUAUUAAAUUAGGCUUGG